UACGUAGGGUGCAAGCGUUAAUCGGAAUUACUGGGCGUAAAGCGUGCGCAGGCGGUUUUGUAAGACUGUCGUGAAAUCCCCGGGCUCAACCUGGGAAUGGCGAUGGUGACUGCAAGGCUAGAGUUUGGCAGAGGGGGGUAGAAUUCCACGUGUAGCAGUGAAAUGCGUAGAUAUGUGGAGGAAUACCGAUGGCGAAGGCAGCCCCCUGGGCCAAUACUGACGCUCAUGCACGAAAGCGUGGGGAGCAAACAGG
rnacentral:rRNA from 1 species